AUGAAGUUCGAUCCAGCACGGAUUAUCAAAAAAAUUGAGGGGCUUGAUGAGCUGACAAAACCCUUCACACAUGAAGAGAUCGUCAAAGUUGUCCGGGAGAUGCCUUCUGAUAAAGCACCCAGCCCGGAUGGCUUUAACGGAACUCCAGAUCCACCUCACGCGCUCCCUCUCCCACAUCGCCGCCGCCACCCCGCCGAUUCAGAUCCGACACCGCUGCCUGCGCCCGCGCACCACCACCCGCUCCUCCUUGCCUCCCAGAGGACGUCCACCGCUCUUCCUCCGCCCGUCUCGGAGGCCUCGGUCGGCACCCUCCGCCGCAUGGCCGCCGCGCUCGUCCCGCCCUCGGCGCCGCACCUCCACCGCCAUCUCUGCUGGCUCCUCGCCGACGCCUCCGCCCCUUCCUCGUCCAGCGCGCCGCUCGGGAACAAGCACUGGAAGGACCUGGUGGUCACCGUCCGGGACGGCGUGCUCAUCCCACGGCCCGAGACGGAGGCCGUCGUGGAGAUGGUCGCCACCACCGACUGCGAGCGGGGGUCCUGGUCUUCUCCCUCGUCAUCCUCGGUGGUGGCAUCGUGGCUUGGCGCCAUCGUCGUGCCCUGCGUCGACGUCUCGAUCAGCUUCACGGAUCACCGUCUUCACGAGGUUGGUCGAAGAGGGAUGGAGUUCAUGACGUUCCUGCUGUCCCUGUCCGUGUUCCUCUUCGGCACCUCCCGGUUCAUCUAUGCCCUGCUCGGCCUCGACCCCUUCAUCUUCGACCUCAUCCUGGUGAGAUUUCCAUCCAACCCUCCCCGUCCCCAUGGUGCUCUUUCUAGAUCAUCAUAUAUUGAAAUCUGGGACUUGUUUGAGAGUUCAGACCCCCUAUUUUGGGGCACCAACAAGGAAAUUUAA
rnacentral:rRNA from 1 species